GGUGCAAGCGUUAAUCGGAAUUACUGGGCGUAAAGCGCACGCAGGCGGUCUGUCAAGUCGGAUGUGAAAUCCCCGGGCUCAACCUGGGAACUGCAUUCGAAACUGGCAGGCUGGAGUCUCGUAGAGGGAGGUAGAAUUCCAGGUGUAGCGGUGAAAUGCGUAGAGAUCUGGAGGAAUACCGGUGGCGAAGGCGGCCACCUGGACGAAGACUGACGCUCAGGUGCGAAAGCGUGGGGAGCAAACAGGAUUAGAUACCCUGGUAGUCCACGCUGUAAACGAUGUCGAUUUGGAGGUUGUGCCCUUGAGGCGUGGCUUCCGGAGCUAACGCGUUAAAUCGACCGCCUGGGGAGUACGGCCGCAAGGUUAAAACUCAAAUGAAUUGACGGGGGCCCGCACAAGCGGUGGAGCAUGUGGUUUAAUUCGAUGCAACGCGAAGAACCUUACCUGGUCUUGACAUCCACAGACCUGGCAGAGAUGCCGGGGUGCCUUCGGGAACUGUGAGACAGGUGCUGCAUGGCUGUCGUCAGCUCGUGUUUGUGAAAUGUUGGGUUAAGUCCCGCAACGAGCGCAACCCUUAUCCUUUGUUGCCAGCGGUCCGGCCGGGAACUCAAAGGAGACUGCCAGUGAUAAACUGGAGGAAGGUGGGGAUGCGUCAAGUCAUCAUGGCCCUUACGACCAGGGCUACACACGUGCUACAAUGGCGCAUACAAAGAGAAGCGACCUCGCGAGAGCAAGCGGACCUCAUAAAGUGCGUCGUAGUCCGGAUUGGAGUCUGCAACUCGACUCCAUGAAGUCGGAAUCGCUAGUAAUCGUGAAUCAGAAUGUCACGGUGAAUACGUUCCCGGGCCUUGUACACACCGCCCGUCACACCAUGGGAGUGGGUUGCAAAAGAAGUAGGUAGCUUAACCUUCGGGAGGGCGCUUACCACUUUG
rnacentral:rRNA from 1 species